rnacentral:rRNA from 1 species
GAUGAACGCUGGCGGCGUGCCUAAUACAUGCAAGUCGAGCGAACAGAUGAGGAGCUUGCUCCUCUGACGUUAGCGGCGGACGGGUGAGUAACACGUGGAUAACCUACCUAUAAGACUGGGAUAACUUCGGGAAACCGGAGCUAAUACCGGAUAAUAUAUUGAACCGCAUGGUUCAAUAGUGAAAGACGGUUUUGCUGUCACUGAUAGAUGGAUCCGCGCCGCAUUAGCUAGUUGGUAAGGUAACGGCUUACCAAGGCAACGAUGCGUAGCCGACCUGAGAGGGUGAUCGACCACACUGGAACUGAGACACGGUCCAGACUCCUACGGGAGGCAGCAGUAGGGAAUCUUCCGCAAUGGGCGAAAGCUUGACGGAGCAACGCCGCGUGAGUGAUGAAGGUCUUCGGAUCGUAAAACUCUGUUAUUAGGGAAGAACAAAUGUGUAAGUAACUAUGCACGUCUUGACGGUACCUAAUCAGAAAGCCACGGCUAACUACGUG